CUGAAUUUCCAUGACUCUACUUAAAUAAAAAAAGAUUAAUUUGAAUCAGUAUCAUUAACAUUGUCACUUGGAACUCUAACAGGCAGAGCAAAGUUCUUUUCACAAAUGAAUAAAUGAGACCAGAUUCAAUUUCAAAUCUGAUUCCAAAAGGAUUUUUAUCUGUAGAAAACAUAAGUAUUAAGAAACAUUAGAGAAAUUGAUCAUUUUAGAUGUAGAAGUCUGUUGGUAUGAAUAAGAAUCACUAUCAACAGCCAUAGAGAUCACUAUUUGAGGGAAGUAUUUUGAACAGACAUUGUUAUAGAAACAAGAUCUUUGAACCAUAUGUUCUUCAUCUGCAAUAGAAUAAGUCCAGGAAUAAUAAUGGUAGAUAAUAAUGUCUGUCUAUAUAGGCAUUGUCUUGUGGAUCGAUAUUUUGAUGAACAUGGAAUUGAUAGAAUGGAUUGGCCAGUCAAAUUUCCUGAUACAGAUCUCAACAUGCAUGAGAUGAUCUUGAAAAAUGGAGUACUACCACCAUUCUUCUUCCAAGAAGCAUUGUUGAGUUUAUGACUACUCUUUUGUGUAAAUGGUUCUUAAUAUUUUCAGAAAAUUUGACAACAUUGUGACAGUAUGAAAAAGCAUUAUGAAGUCCU
rnacentral:lncRNA from 1 species